rnacentral:rRNA from 1 species
GCUGGCGGCAUGGCUCAGACAUGCAAGUCGAACGAUCGUAAGAUAGUGGCGAACGGGUGCGUAACACGUGAGCAACCUGCCUUGAAGUGGGGGAUAGCCCAGGGAAACUUGGAUUAAUACCGCAUGUGGUUCUCGAAGACAUCUUCGAGACACUAAAGCUUGCAAUGGCGCUUCAAGAGGGGCUCGCGGCCUAUCAGCUUGUUGGUGAGGUAACGGCUCACCAAGGCUAAGACGGGUAGCUGGUCUGAGAGGAUGAUCAGCCACACUGGAACUGAGAUACGGUCCAGACACCUACGGGUGGCAGCAGUUUCGAAUCAUUCACUAAUGCGCGAAAGCGUGACCAUGCAAUGCCGCGUGGGGGAUGACGGUCUUCGGAUUGUAAACCCCUGUCAUCAAGGACUAAACCGACGUGAAGAGCGUCGCUGAAUUAACUUGAAGAGGAAGAGGUGGCUAACUCCGUGCCAGCAGCCGCGGUAAUACGGAGACCUCGAGCGUUACUCGGAUUUACUGGGCGUAAAGGGUGCGCAGGCUGUUUAGUAUGUCAGGUGUGAAAUCCCGGGGCUCAACUCCGGAACUGCGCCUGAAACUACUUAACUAGAGACUAGGAGAGGUAAGCGGAAUUCCAGGUGUAGCGGUGAAAUGCGUAGAUAUCUGGAGGAACACCAAAGGCGAAGGCAGCUUACUGGACGAGAUCUGACGCUCAUGCACGAAAGCGUGGGGAGCGAAAGGGAUUAGAUACCCCUGUAGUCCACGCCGUAAACUUUGUACACUAGGUAUUGGCAGAUUCGACCCUGUCAGUGCUCAAGCAAACGUGAUAAGUGUACCGCCUGAGGACUACGGCCGCAAGGUUAAAACUCAAAGGAAUUGACGGGGGCUCGCACAAGCGGUGGAGCAUGUGGCUUAAUUCGAUGCAACGCGAAGAACCUUACCUGGGCUUGACAUGGACCGGACCGGGUGUGAAAGCACCCUUCCCUUCGGGGCUGGUUCACAGGUGCUGCAUGGCUGUCGUCAGCUCGUGUCGUGAGAUGUUCGGUUAAGUCCGGCAACGAGCGCAACCCUCGUCCACUGUUGCCAGCAUUCAGUUGGGGACUCUGUGGAGACAAGCUCCUUUUGGAGGGGGAAGGUGGGGACGACGUCAAGUCAGUAUGGCCCUUACGCCUUGGGCUGCACACGUGCUACAAUGCCCGGUACAAUGAGAUGCAAUAUCGCGAGAUGGAGCUAAUCUACAAAACCGGGCCCAGUUCGGAUUGGAGUCUGCAACUCGACUCCAUGAAGCCGGAAUCGCUAGUAAAGGCGCAUCAGCAAUGGCGCCUUGAAUACGUUCCCGAGCCUUGUACACACCGCCCGUCACAUUAUGGAAGCCGGUUUUGCCCAAAGUGCGUGAGCUAACCUUCGGGAGGCAGCGUCCUAUGGCAGGGCUGGUAACUUGGGACUAAGUC